UAAAACAAACACUAAUUUGGCCCGUAUACAUUAUCAAUACCUUACUGGGCACAACAUAGGAAAUCAAGUUCAUGUGUGAGAGAUAUUUAGGAUCUACUUUAUCUACAUUUGCGAUAAAUCGGCAAGUUGGAUAUGUCAUGAAAGAUUGGUUACUCAUGAAAAUUCAUUAAUGUCUUAUCACUAUACUGCAUGAUCUUUUUAGUCUACCAAAUACAUAAUCUUACAAUUUCUGCUACUCUCGUGCAUGCAUGCAUGAUUGCAUGUUCAAUCACAACACUGUGGUUAUAAACACCUGAAUUGCAUUUUGAUCCUGCUAUUUUAAAAUAUUGAACAAGCUAUUUUUCCUGAGAUUAAAGUCAUAUAAUUCGAGAAUUACAUUAUGUCAAGUUCCACCAAUCAUAAUUCAAAUAUAAUAAGUGGGGUUAACAAAUACAUGUUGCAAAAUUGCUAUCGAACACAUUGACAUUAAAAAUAAAUAAAUCGUGAGAAAAAAAUAAAUAAAUGAUGGUGAGCUUUGUUUGUCGUGUUACCAACCCUCCAAUCAAGCACUUGUAAGAUAGAAGCUUUGUGGGGAAGCUGCUGGUUGUCUUGGCCCCAUCCAGGUUUCCUGUAAAGAUAUUGCAGGUUUUUCCUGGCCUCCCUGAUGUUCCAGCUGUAGUAUGAGUGAUGGUAAUGCUCAAAUAUAUGUCUUACGAUCAACUUGUAGUUAAAAAAAAAAAAAAAUUCUAUUUGCAUAUAACAUGAUUUUAAUCAAUUAAUUAUUUAAAGUGUGUCGAAAGACAAAUAUAGACGACAUGUCUUCGAAAAGCACAAAGAUCAUCUGUCUUCUAUACGAUUACAGUUGUGGUGGGAGUUGGGUUUUUUCGUCUAUGGGGAAUACACAUGCUGUGUAUUUGUGGGGAUGGAGUGCUCCCAAAGGUCACCCUCAACCCCAUAGACUCACACAAAUCAAUGUAUUAUACAGUGUAUUGUAAAGUAAACAAUGACCAUCACGGGGAUCUACUACCCCUUGGACAUUAAAGUAAACAAUGACCAUCACGGGGAUCUACUACCCCUUGGACAUUAAAGUAAGCAAUGACCAUCACGGGGAUCUACUACCCCUUGGACAUUCAGGAUGCCCAUCUCGGGGAUCUACUACCCCUUGGGUAAAGUCCAACAUGGGGGAACCACAACCCCCUGAGGACAUACAGUAUAAUUAUAUCAUAAUCAUAUUGCUGUAAUAGUGAGUCUGUGGGGCGACACUUUGGCCACAGUUUAAAGUAUAAUCGGAGCAUUUCUCCUCGACAACCCUUCUCCCACAACAUUGUGUGUGUCAUAGUUGUUUUCUUAAUUGUCCUAGAAUAUUUGCUUAACGAAUUGGUGCAUUA